GUUUAAAAACAAAGAGACUAAAAAGGGUAUUUAAUACAAUGAAUGAGACAUCUGUGGUCGAUCAAAUUUGUCAACAAGUUGUUUGAACUCUGGCUGCAUGUCAGACGUAGCAACCCUCAGUAAAGACUGCACGUGAACAUCAGUUAAAUUGGAAUGCAGCUUUGUUUUGUUAAUGUUCUUUGUCGAAAAUGUUUGCUCGCAAAUGUAUGUAGACCCGAACAGAACAAGUAUUUCAUGGCCAUCUUUCUCAAGUUGGCAAACUUAGAUUUACUCAGUGAUCAAUCAACUCCAGCUGUAGAGCAUCUGGCACCUUUUCAAAGUCAGUUGUAAAGGGUGAAGACAAGAUAUCAAACUCAGCAGAAAGUUUCUGAAAGUCUGCAAAACGACGACUAAAUUCGUUGUCUAGUGCAGAUAUCAUAUUGGUGUACUUCUCAGUUGUCAUCAUCUGGGGUGCUAUAGUUUCAAGUGUUGGAAAGUGUGUUGUGAUAUUCUGACUUAGCUGGCGAGAAAACAAUUUUAGCUUCAUUCUGAAUGCCUUCAUUGCUGAGAACAUUUCGUGAGCAAAAGUGCCCUUCCCUUGAAGUCUGGUGUUCAAUUUAUGUUCAAUUUAUUCAUGUGUUUAAAGAGAUCAACUGAAAAUGCCAGAUCUGCAAGCCAUUCGGAAUGUCUGAGUUGAGGAUGUUCUGCAUCUUUUCCUUUGAUCUCCAAAAACAGUAAUAUUUCAUUUUUCAAAUCCCAGACGCGUCUCAGAACUUUCCCCAAGCUCAACCAGCGUACAGCAGUAUGAUACAAAACAUCACUGUGUUCUGAGUCGCAAUCUUCCAGAAGUUUGAUAAACUGUCUGUGAUUUCGACCUCUCGCCCUAAUGAAAUUAACAACUUUCACAACUGGAUCCACAACAUGUUAACCACACUUUUACAUAGCACUUCCUGGUGUAUUAUGCAAUGUAGACAAAUCAGCUCCCUGGUGCAAUCGACCUCUGCAACAUGGUCCCCAGUAGACCAACUUUCUUUUCCGUCAAAGAUGGACAACCAUCCGUAGUAGCACUGGACAGUUUUUGCCAUAGUAAUUGCAUUGUAUGCAUGGCAUUUUGCACACAUUCAAAACAAUCUUUUCCGGUAGUAGUGCCUUUCAUUGAUUCCAUUAAGAGCAAUUCUUCUGUGAUUUCAAAGUUUUCUGAAAUACCUCGCACAAAGAUGAGCAACUGUGCAGUACCAUCAAUGUCAGUGCUUUCAUCCAAUGCCAAGGAAAACAGCUGAAAUGACAGUACAUGCGCUUUCAGUUGUGAUGUGAGGUUUUCACCCAAUGCGGCGAGCUACAGUUCUUCUCGACAAACUGACUUCUUCAAACUUCUUUUUUUUUGUUCUGGACAGACUAGAUCAGCUACAUUGAGCAUGCACUUUUUGACAAAUUCACCAUCGUAGAAAGAUUUGCUGUGCUUAGCAAUGUUGUAUGCGACCACAAAGCUGCCACGAGUGGCAGUUUUCUAGGCUGUAUUGGUUUUUAUGAAUACAUUCUGCUGCCUUAGAAGUCUUCUGUCCAGUUCUGUUGCUCUUACUUGCCGUUCCUCUAAUGAUAAAAUAUCCCCAUAGCCUGCAUGUUUUGUCGCAUGAUGGCGGCUAAUGUUGUACUCCUUAAACACGGCAACACUUUCAUUGCACAGCAAACAUACUGCUUUCUUGCCAACUUGUGUGAAAAAGUACUUGGGCAUCCAAUCUUUGUUAAAUUCGCGACACUCCUUGUCAACUUUACGUUUCUUGGCAAAAUCCAUGGAGAAAUAUUUACUGUAAAUUCUAUAUUUCAGUCUUAAAAUAAUCAAGCCUUGAACCAGAAAUAGCACUGCUGUAUAUUGACGUUGUUUUCCUCAGCCAAGCAGCAGCAUGUUUAUUAUGAAAUAGUAGGGAUUCACACGUGGAUUCAUUCAAUGUAUAUAACUACAUGUAAUGGAAUCUCCCGCAUUACGUCAUCAAUCGCAGCUUUUUCGUUCACGCUAUCACGCUUGACUGCACAAACAGAACUGCGGGGAAAUCUGAAUCUUUGUUUACUAAACAACAGACACAUUUCAGUAGUCGGUGGAUUUACAGUGAAUUAUGUGGAUUUAUAUUCAUUUAAAGUUAAUUAGAGCUCCGACAGGUGAUGGGUUCAAAUGUUUGUGUUUUUCCUGAUUGUGAUAAUGGGCGCCCACAAUUUUCUCUUUUUCACAUCCCGAACAAGAAGUAUUAUGGAGGGGGAAACAUGAAUGGGGCAGUUAAAAUGGAAUGUAUCAUACGGUCUUGUAGAGCAGAUAGCAUUUUGGAGAAAAUAUUCAAAAGUGAUAAAAUGCAUAUGUGUGGUGUUCAUUUUACAGAAGAUUGUUUUGUUAUUACAGAAAGUAAGUUUGUAAUUAAAUUUUGUAAGUAAGGUAAGUUAUAGGUAAAGUAAAGUUUGUAAGUAAGGUAAAGUUAUAAGUAAAGUAAAGUUUGUAAGAAAGGUAAAGUUUGACAGUGCUGUAUUAUAUAAAAUGCACAAUUUGUUUUCAUUUGAUAAGCAACAAUUUAAAAAUCAGCAAACAAUAUGUUUUAGAAUAAAAAAAAUUGAAGAUUGGUUCAAUUCCAACAAUUAAGCUUCCGGCUAAACUCCAAGAAAAGCAGGACAAGUCUAAGCCGAGAAUUCCUGUUGAGAGAGCACUACCAAAACCUAAGCCUGUUCAUACUAACUUUCAAUCGUUCUGCAAGGCUGCAGAAACUUACUUAAAUAACAGAUCAAGUUGUCGCUGGACAACAGGAAAUUCAGGAUCAACAGCAUAUUUUAGUAAAAGCUCAGAUUUUUAUACA